rnacentral:tRNA from 1 species
AAGGUUUUAGCUUAAUUAAAGUAUCUGAGUUGCAUUCAGAGGAUGUGGGAUAGAAUCCUGCAAAUCUUA